CGGCAGGAGUCCAGGCGGAGCUCGGGGGUUUCGGCGGCGCCCCCAGCUCUCGUCCAGAUCACGUCCAGACCACGUCCAGCCCCGCGCCGCCGGCGCCUCGGAGCCCGUAGACCGCCUAGGGAGAAGCCGCCUGGAAGUAUGCCAGCCAGUGCGCAAAAAGGGAAUGAGAGAACAUCACCAGUCUGCAGUUCCUAAUGAUUUAUGGAUGUAGCAAUGGUAAUGUCUGCUAAUAUCACAAGAACGACCACCAGACUUCGAAUUUUCCUGAUGGAAGUAAACACCACCAUCUGUGAAGUCGCUCUGUGCCUCCCCCAACCCCACGACAAAAAGUCAAACAAAACCUUAUAUCUGAUCAAGCUCCCAGAUCUAAUGAAGAAUUUACAAGAAACAAAGGAGUAAAACCAUCACAAAGAGGCAAAAUCAAGGCUAUAGGAAACUCUAGGAGGCAAAUGAUAUGAUUUCUUCAACAAAAUAUUGCAUGAAAAAAACAAGAGAUGGAAAGGAAAAGAAAGAACCUACAGGUAAAAGAGGUAUGAGACACAUCAACCAGUCACAAUGGAUAAACUUUACUUGGACCUUGAUUCAAAUAAGCAAUA